rnacentral:lncRNA from 1 species
AUGUGGUCGUAUGAGGUACACAUUCAAGACUUUGAGAGCAACAUGGAGAUGUUAACUCCUGAAGGUUCACACUCUGGUCCUGCUGAAGACCCAGAUGGUCCACCCCUUGGAGGAACAGACAGCUUAUUGAUGACCAAAGUGUACCGGGAAUCCAACCCCCACGUGUCUGAUGGAUCAGAAUCCUCUAUGAGCACCAUUGAAAUCAGUGAUGAUGAAUAUAUUCCGCCAAAAAACUCUCCAUGUGGAAGCAGUUCAGAGGGCUCUUACGAUCUCACAAGAAAUGUUCCAGUGGUAAAACUGAAAAAACAGAAGACGUCGCAGAAGACUUCUCCAAGAAAGACAUGGCCUGGUACUUCUUCAGGUAAAGACAACAGGAGAGCAGAAGGAGAAAACACUGAUGACACAAAGAUGGAAAAGCUGAAGAAACAGAAGACACAGAGGACUUCUAAAAGGAAGACAGUCUUCAGUAUUUCUUCAGAUGAAGACAAUAGGGGAGCAGAAAGUGAAAACUGUGAUUACACAAAGAUGGGAAAUGUGGCAGUAUUGAAGCUGCUAAAAAAGAAAGAUGGUUCCAGAAUUUACAACAAACCCCAAUAUUGUCUGUACUGUCCUGUACACUGCUAUAAAAUGGCGAGACACUUGCUACAAAAACACUGCCAUGAAACCGCUGUGAAACAAGCAGCCUGUUUUCCUUUGAACUCAAAGGAAAGAAAAUUCCAUUUUGAAUUAAUACGAAACCAGGGAAACCGCGCACAUAACAAUGAGGUACUAAAAACUGGUAGAGGAACACUGAUUCCAAGGCGGCGAGCUGCAAAAGCAUUGAAAGCAAAUGACUAUACGUAUUGCAUUAACUGUGAGGCUUUGCUAAAAAGAAAUGGAUUAUUGAGUCACAUGUCAAGGUGCAAGCUUUCAAGAAAAUGCAGAGAACCAAAGCCAGGUAAAAGUUGGAUCUAGGCACUUCCGCACACACAAAUAUAUAUAUGUUUCUGAGUACAUGUCUAUCUUCAUGUCAGAUUUGGUUUUGUUGUCCCUGCUUUUCAGAGGAAGUAGUGGUGGAAGCUGUGGAUAGUGAUCUCUCACAGACAGAGGCAAACUCAUCAUUCUGCU